rnacentral:tRNA from 2 species
GCCGCGUUCGUCUAGAGGCCUAGGACGCUGCCCUCUCACGGCGGUAACACGGGUUCGAAUCCCGUACGCGGUA